UCGAAAAGUUCGGAUUCAAUGAAAUUCAGUGAAAUUGAAUAUUCGGAUCGAGGAAGAACUCGGAGAGAGAAAGAGAGAGAGAGAGAGACUCGAGGAUGAUGUUGACUCAUUUACGUGUACACGGUGAUCGCGGAUCGGCUCGAUGACUAAUCCCGAUCCGGACAAGGGUAACCACUUUCAAGCAAUACCGAAAUAACGGUCAUCGGCGGGAAGGCAAAUUAACCUGGCCGACUUCGAGCGACCGCUACCGUGGAAAAAAAUCGGAAAUCACAAUGGUCGAUCCUUAAACGGUCGCGCGGCAUUUAAUUUCACUCGGCCCUGGUCGUUUUCACCGUAUAAUUCCGAUCGUCGAUCGUUCCGACGAGCCGCGAACAAAGAGAGGAUCUUUGGAUAAAUAGCAGGCGUGCUCGUCCUCCGGUUUCCGCCACGAUUUAACGGGAGUUAAUACUGUAACAAGGACAACGAUUUCAUAUAAUUUCUUUAUUCUGUCUACGAUCGGUGUGUGUGUGUGUGCGGUGAGAAAUUUAAAUGAGAAACGUUGAAGGAACGAUCGAUAAUUAUUCCAAUUUUAUAGAUUUUAUUGAAAAGAUUCGUGCAUACGUAUAUUUUAUAACAAUUGCGUCGUGUUAUCGAGCUACUUUCCGAGACCGUAUCUCAUUUAAGAUUACGAGGUGAAAAAAUGGCCGUCUUAUGCAAUCUUGAACAAGACUUUAUCAUCCUGUAUUAUCGAGGCGGUUUUAUAAAAUUCGUUUUUACCUCGAACCAAUUAACUGGCGAAUUUAUAUAUCUUCCGAAUAUUCUUCCGAAAUAUAAUCCGAAGCAUCCUUUUCUUAACGCAUGUAUACACGCCUCGCAUCGAUAUUAAAAAUAAAUGGCGUUCAAGAAAGCCGUACCGAUACUCGAACCCGAUAAAUAAGAACUUUAACUUUCCCGUUCUAAAAUUCAGCAAGGGAAUUAAUAACCGCUAUCGCGUAAAAACGUAAUUAAAAGC